GCCCCCCUUUGCCCUCUCUGCUUUGAUCAUGCCACAUGGCUAAGUCCUUUUGCUCUGGGGGAAAGAACCAGAAUCAGUUUUGGGGAGAUCUGAGUGGAUGCUUCUCUGUGGCUUGGCUUGGGAUUACUUGGGACAUUGAAUAAAUAAAUGGCCUUUAGCCCCACGGCUGUGGUUUCCCCAUCUUUGGAAAGCAUUCAAGGUACCCCUCCCCCCCACUGAUUUGUUAGUAUUUUAAGUCCACAAGGAAAGAAAGAUGCUUUGAAAAUACAGAAUGCAGUGUUUUCCAUUCAGACCCUAGGGUCCCUGCCUGAGCGGACAGGGUGCUUGCUGCCUUUGCAGGAUGCUGUUUUGGCUGAGGCUGGGAUAUGCUUAUCUCUGGAGACUCCUUGAACUCCAAGCUGACCCCAGUGCCAGAGCUGAGCAGGAUAAAAAGCUUCACAGGUAAAAAGCACUGAAGGCAGCUUACCAGCAAAGCAGUAGAACAGAGCGCGCGAAGCAUCCUAUGGGUAAGUGGACCCUCGGCGGAAGCACGCGUAAACCCCUCACGACAGCUUCCAGUUUAUCUUGUUAGGAAGCGCUUGAAAGAGGCUUUUAGGAACCUAGAGAAACAUUUAAUUCCUGCCUGGGUGUAACUAACUGGUCAAGAGCAAAAAUGUCUGUCCCUAUCAUUUCAAGCAUUUGAGUAUAGAUUUGGUACUAAAAUACCCAGCAGCAAAAUUUCCAAGAAAUUUGCUAAACCUGUCUAUGUUAUGACCACAUGCUUGGGAAGAAAUCAAGAGCACACGGAAUAAAACCUUUGUUUGUUUCUGAGACUCUCACUCUUCAGCCAGGCCUGUCUCAAACGCACGGUCCUCUUGCCUCAGCCUCUCCAGUGCUGGCAUUACAGCUGCCUUGACCCCCAUUAUAUUCAACCCUGCGGGUUGGUUAUAUAGUGAGGAGAUGAAGCUGUCUGUGCCAGGAUUCCAGUCAUGUGACCUUCCAUCCCCCAAUGUCUAAAGUGCCUUCUGUAGAUGCAGAGCGCAUACUCAUUUGGUUGGCGGAAGGGCAGACCUACAGGAAGGAAGGACCAAUCAUUCUGGCAUUUUAUGAAAGCCGUGGGUGCUCCACAGACAGAUAUACCAGUUUAGUAUACUGUACAAUGAUGAUUGUGUUUGCCGCCACUGGAAGGCUGGAGGAAGUUCGUCCCCUCAGAGGCCAUCUUCUCAGAUGAGGAGAGCAACCCCACAGAGGAGAAGGAGGCAAUGUAAGAACACAAGAGUUCCAGAAUGCCACAUAACCUAGCUUCACAGGAACAAAUCCUUGGUGGACCCCUCUCUGUGAUUGACUGAGCUGACCUGUGUAGCACCUUGCAGUAGGCCAGGCUACAGAUUACAGAGAGCAUAGAUGGCACAGCCAGUCCAACCGAGCACACCAACCACUCUCCCUGUUCCUACAUCUCUACACCUCUCUGAUAUUUUUUUUAAAAAUCACUUUUUGUAAUGAACUCGCCAGUGAACACAUCACACAGCUAGAUUAGAGCAGUCAUUCAAAUAAACGCUUGCUGGGUCCUAAACACUAUAGAUUUCAAUAAACUCUGUACAGUCCGAAUAGCCCUGGUGAAGAGUCAUUCACCAACUAAUCUUUCAAUGGGUAAUUGCUUUCCACUCCAGGAUUGACAUUAACUGUAAGAAUAAGUCAAAUGAUGAACCGGUAGAAAAGGUGAGAUGUCAUUUGAGUGUCUGUCCUGACGCCUGUCAGUUCUCUCCAGCAUCAUGACUUUUUAUCUGCUCAGCCUUCCUUGAGGGACGAGGUCACUCUGAACUGGGUCUGGACUUACUUUAGGUGAACUUUCACCUGUUCAUUCAACCUGGCUGCUGAUCAGUAGUUUUUGAAAUGGAACAUAGAAUAAACUAACUACUACCAUCAAAUUUGCUUCCCCUUCACUACUAUAUUGAGAAAAUUCCAAGAAUAAAUGAAUAUAUAUAUAUAUAUAUAUAUAUAUUCCUCAAAGAAAAGACUGGAGAGACGGUUUGCUUACCCCACAACUACAAGGAUCACACACAUGUAAGACACAUAUGCCCUCAAACCCAUGUAAAAGCUGUGAGUUGUUACUGUAACUCUAGGAUUUAGAGGACAGAGCCAGGAGGCUCACUGGGGCCCAUUGCCUAGCCAUCCUAGCAGAACAGAUGAGCUCCAAGUCUGCCCAGAGGCUUGUUUCAGCAUCAGCCUCUGGCCUCUGUACACACACGUGUGUACACCUGUGUAUACACAGCUGUGUAUACACCCAUACUCACAUACAUAUUUCACACACCCACGUAUUCCCCACAUGCAUACAAAAGAUAACAGAGGAGAAUAAGAAAUAUGUUUAUCAAAGAGUUUAGUAAUGAGAUUUUUUUGUGUUUUGUUUUUGAAAUCAGUUUAAUUCACCAUGGAAGCAGAAAUAAAGAAAAAACAAAAAGAGAUACAGAGUUUCUAUUGCUGUGAUAAAAUACCAGGACUAAAAUCAUCUUCAGAAAGGGGUUUAUUUCAUCUUACAGCUUGUAGUUUGUCAUCCAGGGAGGUCGAGGCAGGAACUGAUGUGGAGGCUUACUCCUCAUGGCUUGGUCAACCUGCUUGCUUUACCAUCCAGGACCUCCCACCCGUGGGCCCACCUGCAUCAAUCGUUAAUCAAGGAAGUGCCCUGCAGGCUUGCUCACAGGCUGCAGGCUUGCUCACAGGCUGCAGGAUCACUCACGGGUUUGCUCGUGGGCUACUCUGGCAGGGGCAUCUUCUUAACUGAGGUUCCCUCCUUCCAGCGACUCUAGCCUGUGUCAUAAAAAAUAAGCACUACAAAUCUAGGAUCUGCUGGGUAAGUGCACACUGGGCUGGUUCCACUCUCUUCUAGGAUUUCCUGGAGCCCUGCAGACUGUUAUUCACCGUUCACAUAUGCAUAUACAAAAAUAUACCAUCUAUAAAUAGCCAUCUGCCUUUUCAGUGAAAUUAAAGAUGGGAGAGUGAGAUUUUUCUGAGUGUAAUUACAGGCCUCAAACCUACAGCUGUUAGGUUACUCUAGUUCUACCAAGAGAAUCUCCAGUGUCACUAUUUUAUCUUAAGUACGCUUGAAAAAAUAAUCCUAAAAUGUGAACAGGACGCUUUUUUUCCCCCUUCCUUCCCAAGAGUUCUCACAAACCCAGUGACCAAGAUUAGGUGUUACACUGCACUGUUGUGUUUUGUUUGCAUAAAGUGAAGAAAAAUGUUCAGUGUUUUUGUUCCUUAUCUAGGGAUUUACAAACUCCUGCCAAUGUUUUUCUUAAACUCUAUAUAUGCCCCUUUGCAAACGCUCUCCCUCUAUGGAGUUUCUGCUAAAAUGCAAUUUCUUAAGAAAACCCAUGGGGUUUCUAAAAUUCUUAGGCAAUGGCUGACCUCACAGGGCAUGCUAGUUGGAACAGAAAGAAAUGAGAGGUUCUUGCUAACAAGAGCAGGUAGGGAUUUCUUCACAUGCUGCGUUUGUGUUUGUUCCCGUGUUAGAGACCAAGCCUCUUCCAUCACGCUGAGCUGUGAACUGCAAGGUGGGGAAAUGUUCUUAGGAGCAGCCUUGAGGAUUCCCUUGGAAAGGCCUAAGUGCCUUUCUCAGUUGUUUACAAUAAGGG
ensembl:lincRNA Gm26813 predicted gene, 26813